CACUUUUGUGGUGCAUUUUGUCCCUAUUGGAGUUUAAUAUCAUCCGUCCUUAUUCAUUUUUUUUUUUUCUGUGGAAGAAAGACAAAUCGUUUUGGAAUGGCAUACAGGUAAAUGAUGAUUUUUUAUUAGUGUACUAUAGCUUUAAGAAAAAGGCUGUUACUGAAGUCUCUCCAAAAGCAUGCAGCAUUGCAUUAGAUGCAAUACGUUUCCAAUUAGAUGUGUCAGUAAGAAUGCAGUUAAAGGUAUUCAUGUUUUCCUUUAUCAAACAGAUCAGACUUCAUUUUGAGACAUUUACUGAGCCCAGGCACAACUGUUUAUUUCACUUCUACACAACAGACUGUGAAAAACCAGGACAACAAAUAACAGCCCAUCUCUCCAGACCAAAAUGAGUGUUUCACCAUGGGUGGAGGAGAAGGACAAUGGUGUCUCCUAUUCUCCAGAUAACCGCUCAGUGGAAGCAGAUUGGGACGCGUCCCGGCGGAGGGACGUUGUGGCUGUCACAGAGACGAACUGUGAGGAACAGAGGAGCAAGAGAGAAAGUGAAAGAUGGCACACGCAGGAAUCUGAGGGACUUUCCUCAAUAGGAGUCGAUCCCUGACAGCACCUUUAAUGAUUCCUGAUUUCCCGGACACCUGUGAAUGUUUGAGAGCGAGCAGUGGUGCGUACAGAGCACUGACCACUAGAGGUCUUUCACUAUGACACAUGCAUGGAAAGGGGAUUCACAGCUUCACUCAGCAAUGAGACGACUGCAAACUCCUGGCAGUUCAUGAACUUUAACGCUAAUGACAUUACAUAGUCAAUGUAAAGUGUCACAAGUAAAGGUUUUGUGUGUAAGCAGUUGAAAAAACUGUAAUUAAGAGUGUUGUGAGUGCCAUCAUGUGGUGAAAACAUUUCAUUUUCUAUCUGUCUGUCUGUCUGUCUGUCUUUCAAGUGAUCUGUGGCUCAUGGGUAUGAGCUCUGCCUCAGGGUUCAGAGGUUGCUGGUUUGAUCCCAGUCAGAUCACUGUAAAAUGAAGAAGUGGGGAUAAAAUUGGAGUGACUCUGCCAAAAAUUUAUAGGGGGCAGCUGUGGCCUAAUGGUUAGAGAUUUGGACUUGUAACCAGAAGGUCGCAGGUUCGAGUCUCGGUGCUGGCAGGAGUUGUAGGUGGGUGGGGAGUGAAUGAACAGCGCUCUCUUCCACCCUCACUACCCAUGGCUGAAGUGCCCUUGAGCAAGGCACUGAACCCCAAGUUGUUCCCCGGGCGCUGGAUAUAGCUGCCCACUGCUCCAGGUGUGUGUUCACUUCUCACUGCUGUGUGUGUGCACUUGGAUGGGUUAAAUGCAGAGCACCAAUUCUGAGUAUGAAUUACCAUUCUUGGCAAAUGUCACGACUUUCACUUUAAAUGAGGCUAGUUGUCACUCUUUUAACUCUAGUAAAUAUUUGUCAAGGUAGGUUUAAUUUUAAAAGCCAUUUUUGUAUAGACAGAAACCAAGUCUUAUCUAGUACAACAGACAUAGUGUAGUUUUACUGUUUUCUUGUUCUGCAUAAGAGCAACAUCACAAAAAUGUGCUAUAUGAGUUUUUAUAUAUGUUCAAAACCAGUCACAGCUUUUUACAUUA
ensembl:lncRNA